UCAGGGAGGAAUAAAAUGACGUGUACCUGAAGAAUAAGCAUCGGCUAACUCCGUGCCAGCAGCCGCGGUAAGACGGAGGAUGCAAGUGUUAUCCGGAAUCACUGGGCGUAAAGCGUCUGUAGGUGGUUUAAUAAGUCAACUGUUAAAUCUUGAGGCUCAACUUCAAAAUCGCAGUCGAAACUAUUAGACUAGAGUAUAGUAGAGGUAAAGGGAAUUUCCAGUGGAGCGGUGAAAUGCGUAGAUAUUGG
rnacentral:rRNA from 1 species